rnacentral:lncRNA from 1 species
UUGGCUGGGAGAAAAGCAGAGAAACUGGACACAAAGAAGGAAGUCAGGAAGGCUGGCGUCAGUGUGAUAGACAUGGCUAAGAAGGGUAAGCCUAAGGUUAAGAAACUAAGAGAGGGGAAUCCCCAGUGCAGUCACAGGUAACCCACAUCUCCCAUGGAUUCCAGAGAGGUCCAGACAAGAGGAAGCACUCAGCUGCCAAGUCCAAGGUUAAGAAGAAAAACAAAAUAAAAGUUCUUGUCGCUGUCACAGAACUGUUUGGUGCCUACAAGAACGAUAGUACGUAGGUGGCUGAGCUUAGCAAAGUGUCUAGAUUUUAUUCUAUCAAAGACAUUCCAUGGGAGCUGCUUAGCCAUUGAGCCAUUACUAACAACACAACCACACCAAUUGCCCCCCCCCUCCAGUCAGCAUGUGAGAUGUUUAUACACCAGUAUCACAACCAAGGUGAUUCUGGUCAUCCUCACUGGGCCUUGUAAGGACAGGACAGGGGUCCUCUGGAUGCAGUUGGAUAGUGACCUACUAUUUGUGACUGGGCCUCUUUUGCUCUCUCAAGUUCCUCUGUGUAUAACACAGCAGACCUUCAUCAUUGCUGCUUCCCUUAAAACUGACUUCAGCAACGUAUAAAUCUCAGCCACCUCACUGGCCUUCAAGUCCACACGAAGGGCCAGAAGCCCCGGCAUGGGGGCAGUGAGUUCUUCCACACUGAGAAGGAGAAAGAAAAGAUUAUGGAGCAACCAAGGUUGAUCAGAAAGCUGUGGACUUACAAGUUUCACCAAAGAUCAAAGCUGCCCCUUAGCUCCGGGAGCUACAAGCAAUCCCAUUUUACUCUAACAAGCGGAAUUUACCUUCACAAAUCGGUGUUCUAA